GCAGUGCGUGGCCGAAUGGUUACGCUGUCCGCUGUGUAAGCGGAUGUUUCUGGGUUCGAUUCCCAUCUGCUGCA
rnacentral:tRNA from 1 species